GGAGUUAGCCGGUGCUUCUUCUGUGAGUGAUGUCCUUCCUGCCGGCUAUUAACCCGCAGGCCUUCUUCCUCACUGAAAGUGCUUUACAACCCGAAGGCCUUCUUCACACACGCGGCAUGGCUGGAUCAGGGUUGCCCCCAUUGUCCAAUAUUCCCCACUGCUGCCUCCCGUAGGAGUCUGGGCCGUGUCUCAGUCCCAGUGUGGCUGAUCAUCCUCUCAGACCAGCUACGGAUCGUCGCCUUGGUGAGCCGUUACCUCACCAACCAGCUAAUCCGACAUAGGCUCAUCCGAUAGCGCGAGGCCCGAAGGUCCCCCGCUUUCCCCCGUAGGGCGUAUGCGGUAUUAGCCUGGGUUUCCCCAGGUUAUCCCCCACUACCGGGCAGAUUCCUAUGCAUUACUCACCCGUCCGCCGCUCGCCACCAGGGAGCAAGCUCCCCGUGCUGCCGCUCGACUUGCAUGUGUUAGGCCUGCCGCCAGCGUUCAAUCUGAGCCAUAUCAAACUCUGA
rnacentral:rRNA from 1 species